rnacentral:rRNA from 2 species
GAUUAAGCCAUGCAUGUGUAAGUGUAAAUAUACUAGUUUGGAACUGCGAAUGGCUCAUUAUAUCAGUUAUAGUUUAUUUGGUGAAGUGUACUACUUGGAUAACCGUAGUAAUUCUAGGGCUAAUACAUGAGAAAGUCCUCUGGUGAGGUGUGUUUAUUAGAAUGAAAACCAUAUGCUUCGGCAUGAUAGUGAGUAAUAGUAACCUAUCGUAUCGCAUGCUUAAUGUAGCGAUGAGUCUUUCAAGUUUCUGCCCUAUCAGCUUUCGAUGGUAGUAUAUGGGCCUACCAUG